AACGAACGCUGGCGGCGCGCCUAACACAUGCAAGUCGAACGAGAAUCCGGGGCAACCCGGUAGUAAAGUGGCAAACGGGUGAGGAAUACAUGGGUAACCUACCCUUGAGAAGGGAAUAACCCGCCGAAAGGUGAGCUAAUACCCUAUACGCUAUCUUUUUUUCGAAAAAGAUAGGAAAGCCGGGUCGAGGACCUGGUACUCAAGGAGGGGCUCAUGUCCUAUCAGCUUGUUGGUGGGGUAACGGCCUACCAAGGCUACGACGGGUAGCUGGUCUGAGAGGAUGAUCAGCCACACUGGCACUGAGAUACGGGCCAGACUCCUACGGGAGGCAGCAGUGAGGAAUAUUGCGCAAUCGGGCGAAAGGCCUGACGCAGCGACGCCGCGU
rnacentral:rRNA from 1 species